rnacentral:rRNA from 1 species
GGCGGACGGGUGAGUAACACGUGGAUAACCUGCCCUUCGGUGGGGGACAACCAUCCGAAAGGAUGGCUAAUACCGCAUACGUCCAUCUUCUCUGCGGAGGAGAUGGGGAAAGAUUUCGGUCGCCGAAGGAGGGGUCCGCGGGGCAUCAGCUUGAUGGUGAGGUAACGGCUCACCAUGGCAAAGACGCCUAGCUGGUCUGAGAGGAUGAUCAGCCACACUGGGACUGAGACACGGCCCAGACUCCUACGGGAGGCAGCAGUGGGGAAUAUUGGACAAUGGGCGAAAGCCUGAUCCAGCCAUGCCGCGUGAGUGAUGAAGGCCCUCGGGUCGUAAAGCUCUGUGGAGGGGGACGAACACAAUGACGGUACCCCUUUAGCAAGCACCGGCUAACUCCGUGCCAGCAGCCGCGGUAAUACGGAGGGUGCAAACGCUGCUCGGAAUCAUUGGGCGUAAAGCGCACGUA